rnacentral:tRNA from 1 species
GGCUUUAUAGUGUAGUGGUUAUCACACUGGAUUUUGAUUCCAGUGACCCAGGUUCGAGCCCUGGUAAGGCCU